rnacentral:tRNA from 2 species
GCGGGUGUAGUUCAAUGGUAGAACCCCAGCCUUCCAAGCUGAUUACGUGGGUUCGAUUCCCAUCACCCGCUCCA